GAGCAGAGCCCAGGAGAGCAAGCCUGUAAGCAGCGUUCCUCCAUGACCUGUGCUCCAGCUCCUGCCUCCA
rnacentral:miRNA from 1 species